AAAACGGAGAGUUUGAUCCUGGCUCAGGAUGAACGCUGGCGGUAUGCUUAACACAUGCAAGUCGAACGGACCCUUCGGGGUUAGUGGCGGACGGGUGAGUAACGCGUGAGAAUCUGUCUUUAGAUCGGGGACAACAGUUGGAAACGGCUGCUAAUACCGGAUGUGCCGAGAGGUGAAAGAUUUAUUGUCUAAAGAUGAGCUCGCGUCUGAUUAGCUAGUUGGUGGGGUAAGAGCCUACCAAGGCGACGAUCAGUAGCUGGUCUGAGAGGAUGACCAGCCACACUGGAACUGAGACACGGUCCAGACUCCUACGGGAGGCAGCAGUGGGGAAUUUUCCGCAAUGGGCGAAAGCCUGACGGAGCAAUACCGCGUGAGGGAGGAAGGCUCUUGGGUUGUAAACCUCUUUUCUCAGGGAAUAAAAGAGAAGGUACCUGAGGAAUAAGCAUCGGCUAACUCCGUGCUAGCAGCCGCGGUAAUACGGAGGAUGCAAGCGUUAUCCGGAAUGAUUGGGCGUAAAGCGUCCGCAGGUGGUAUUUCAAGUCUGCUGUCAAAGAGUUUGGCUCAACCAAAUAAAGGCAGUGGAAACUGAAAAACUAGAGUGCGUUCGGGGUAGAGGGAAUUCCUGGUGUAGCGGUGAAAUGCGUAGAGAUCAGGAAGAACACCGGUGGCGAAAGCGCUCUACUAGGCCGCAACUGACACUGAGGGACGAAAGCUAGGGGAGCGAAUGGGAUUAGAUACCCCAGUAGUCCUAGCCGUAAACGAUGGNNNNNNNNNNNNNNNNNNNNNNNNNNNNNNNNNNNNNNNNNNNNNNNNNNNNNNNGCCCGCCUGGGGAGUACGCACGCAAGUGUGAAACUCAAAGGAAUUGACGGGGGCCCGCACAAGCGGUGGAGUAUGUGGUUUAAUUCGAUGCAACGCGAAGAACCUUACCAGGGCUUGACAUGUCGCGAAUCAGGGGGAAACUUCUGAGUGCCUUCGGGAGCGCGAACACAGGUGGUGCAUGGCUGUCGUCAGCUCGUGUCGUGAGAUGUUGGGUUAAGUCCCGCAACGAGCGCAACCCUCGUUUUUAGUUGCCAGCACUUAGGGUGGGCACUCUAAAGAGACUGCCGGUGACAAACCGGAGGAAGGUGGGGAUGACGUCAAGUCAGCAUGCCCCUUACGUCCUGGGCUACACACGUACUACAAUGCAACGGACAAAGGGCAGCAAGCUAGCAAUAGCAAGCAAAUCUCGUAAACCGUUGCUCAGUUCAGAUCGAAGGCUGCAACUCGCCUUCGUGAAGGUGGAAUCGCUAGUAAUUGCAGGUCAGCAUACUGCAGUGAAUUCGUUCCCGGGCCUUGUACACACCGCCCGUCACACCAUGGAAGCUGGUAGUGCCCGAAGUCAUUACCCCAACUAUUCGUAGAGGGGGAUGCCUAAGGCAGGACUGGUGACUGGGGUGAAGUCGUAACAAGGUAGCCGUACCGGAAGGUGUGGCUGGAUCACCUCCUUU
rnacentral:rRNA from 1 species